GGCUCUACCAGCACUCUAAAUCCUUUCUUCUUUUCUAGCCUGACUGCACUGCACAUUUAAAGCCACCAUCUAUUGGCCAGCAGAAGAGAAGGGUUUCUGGAAAUGCCAUGGCCUUUCCUAUACUGUUUUAAGCCUCAGUCUCAAGAUUUCAACCUGAGAAGUCAGCUUCCAAGGCCAGUAUCUCCCAAGCAGAGCCAGGAUGCUGUCUCCAUGCGCCACUGCACUGCCAAACUGCAUAAGUGAAAGUUACCUGUUCCACCACCACCAAUGAUACCCAGUAUGCUGAUCAACAUCAAAUCGGACCACAAUACAGAAAUGCAGUGAUUAUGGCCUAAGGAGUUCAAGAGAACACAUGGUUGGAAGAUGUGUCUUUGUGCAUUAACGCUAUAAAAUUCUGAAAGGUGCUGGAAAUGUGUCUGACUAAUACAUGAAAGAAAUAUUUUAAAAGGCUGACUUGGAGAAAAUGCUCAACAUGGAGAGAACAAAAUUUUUCCAAAAAGGAAAACAACUCAGUCUGGUCCCAAAGCCUUCCCCAGGCUCUCACAGAGGGACAUCAAAAGUGAAGUAAAAUGCCUGGACUUAUUCUGAAAUUUAAGGAAAAUUUUCUCAUGAAGGAUCAAGUUUCCAGGUUUCCAGCCUGUGUUGUGAAGCCCAUGGCCUGCCAAUGUUUUAAAUAAAGCAGAACUUUAGAAAAAUGAUUACAUGAGUACAGAUGAAAAGGCUAUCUUUGGGUGGUGUGACUGCU